rnacentral:rRNA from 1 species
AGCUCCAAUAGCGUAUAUUAAAGUUGUUGCGGUUAAAAAGCUCGUAGUUGGAUUUCUUCUAGGGAAGACGGGUCUCGUUCUUAACGAUGUAUCUUUGUCUGCCUUGGAAUCUUCUCGAAAAUCGUUUUUGCGUUUGAUUACGUGAUUCGACGUUCGAGACUUUUACUUUGAGGAAAUUAGAGUGUUCAUAGCAAGCAGUCGCUUUGAAUAUAUUAGCAUGGAAUAAUAAUAUAAGACUAAGUACUUAUUUUGUUGGUUUCUAGGGACUUAGUAAUGAUAAAUAGGGAUAAUUGGGGGUAUUUGUAUUGUCGCGUCAGAGGUGGAAUUCUUGGAUUGCGCUAAGACAAACUACUGCGAAAGCAUUUGCCAAGGAUGUUUUCA